rnacentral:rRNA from 1 species
AGUCGUGACAAGGUUUCCGUAGGUGAACCUGCGGAAGGAUCAUUACCUAGAGUUUGUAGACUUCGGUCUGCUACCUCUUACCCAUGUCUUUUGAGUACCUUCGUUUCCUCGGCGGGUCCGCCCGCCGAUUGGACAACAUUCAAACCCUUUGCAGUUGCAAUCAGCGUCUGAAAAAACAUAAUAGUUACAACUUUCAACAACGGAUCUCUUGGUUCUGGCAUCGAUGAAGAACGCAGCGAAAUGCGAUAAGUAGUGUGAAUUGCAGAAUUCAGUGAAUCAUCGAAUCUUUGAACGCACAUUGCGCCCCUUGGUAUUCCAUGGGGCAUGCCUGUUCGAGCGUCAUUUGUACCUUCAAGCUCUGCUUGGUGUUGGGUGUUUUGUCUCGCCUCUGCGUGUAGACUCGCCUUAAAACAAUUGGCAGCCGGCGUAUUGAUUUCGGAGCGCAGUACAUCUCGCGCUUUGCACUCAUAACGGCGACGUCCAAAAGUACAUUUUUACACUCUUGACCUCGGAUCAGGUAGGGAUACCCGCUGAACUUAAGCAUAUCAAUAAAAAGUCG